GGUUGGCGGCGGUUUCUUCAAAUCCUAGUCACUUGUUGUGGUUGGACAACACGUCAAGCGCAAUGAUGUUGGUGGUCGUUGGUGGCGGUGGUGUAAAGUCGCGUUGGCUCGAGCGGUAUCCACCGGCGACGAUUGGUCAACGCUUUGUGGUUGGCGGCAAUUUUUUUAAAUUGGAAUCACUUGUUGUGGUUGCGACAAUGGAGGUGCGUCGUUCUAAUUGGUGGUUGGUCAUCUAGGACGGUUGGUCGACGCUUUGUGGUUGGCAGCAGUUUUUUCAAAUCGGAAUCACUUGUUGUGGUUGCGACAAUGGAGGUGCAUCGUGCUUAUUGUUGGUUGGUCAUCUAUACGCUUUAAUAAUAAUAUUAUGUAUUUUUCCUAUUUUUAAUAUAUGUUUUAGUAAUAUUUAUGCAUCUUUUGUUAUUUUAAAUUAUUUUUAUGUCACUUUUUAAUAAAAAUAUUUACUCUUUUAUAUGUUAUACUAUUAUUAAUUGCAUUGGGAUUUUUCUCCAUCAUUUUUUCUAUUUUUAUAAUAAUUUUCAUAUUUUUUAGUUUUUUAUUAAGUAUUUUUCGUUUUUAAAUAAAAAUAUUUCAAAAAAAAUAUUAUUUUUUUGUAAAAAAUAUCAUUUACAAUAUAUUAGCCAAGUUGUACUUCGGUUUGUGCUAUUUGGUGUUGUACAUGUCUAUUAUGAUUCUCUGGACAAAACAUGUCUACUCCUGAAAUUUGGGUUUUUUUUUUUGUACAUGUCUAUUAUGAUUCUCUGGACAAAACAUGUCUACUCCUGAAACUUGGGUUUUUUAUUAAGCAUAUAUAAGGGGGGUAGAGGUGUUGAAAGGCACCUCAGGUGCUUGCUACCAGGAAGGGGCGGGCAUGCAUGAGGGACGCUGGCAUGGGGCGUGGGCCUUGGGGACAUGCAUGGCUUGUCCGUGCUACUUCCUCGAUGUUCCUAAACCGUGAUGACAAGUACUCGUGUGGGCUAGUAAUAAGCCUGGUGGUGGCACCGCUCGUGGCAAACAUUGGCUUUUUGCAAUGAACGGUAGAGCGUCAUGCAAGUAGCGCUGCAAGGUGCCGUGCGCAUGGGGCGAAGCUUAGUACUUGUUGAUUGCCAUUGGAUGUUGCGGGCAAAAUUGGGAGGCGACAUCGCUCGUGGCGACUGAUGGCUUUUGAUAACAGAAUGGCAAAGCGUCGUGCAAGAAGCGCCGCAAGGUGUUGUGCGCAUGGGUCGAAGCUUAGUAAGUUGUUGAUUGCCACCGGUUGUUGCGGGUUGUGUCUGGAAUCUCUCGUGGCGGCUGAUGGCUUUCGACAAAGAACGGCAGAGCCUCGUGCAAGUAGCGCCGCAAGGUGCCGUGCGCAUGGGGCGAGGCUCACUAGGUGUCGAUUGCCAUCGGUUGUUGCGGGCAAUAUCGCUCGUGGCGGUUGAUGGCUUUCGGCAAUGGAACGGCAAAGCAUUGUGCAAGUAGUGCCGCAAGGUGCCGUGCGCAUGGGGCGAAGCUUAGUAAGUUGCCUAUUGCCAUCGAUUGUUGUGGGUUGUGUCUCCGUGGCGGCAUAUGGCUUUUGACAAUGAACGGCGGAGCAUCGUGCAAGUAGCGCCACAAGGUGCCAUGCGCACGGGGCGAAGCUCAGUAGAUGUUCAUUGCCAUCGAUUGUUGCGGGAAACAUCGGGAGGCGAAAUCGCUCGUGGCAGCUGAUGGCUUUUGGCAACAAAAUGGAAAAGCAUCGUGCAAGUAGCGUCGCAAGGUGCCGUGCGCACGAGGCGAAGCUUAGUAAGUUGCUGAUUGCCAUCGGUUGUUGCGGGCAACAUCGGAAGGCGACAUCGCUCGUGGCGGCUAAUGGCUUUUGGAAACAAAAUGGCAAAGCAUCGUGCAAGUAUAAGGCCUACGCAAUAAGUUGCUGAUUGCCAUCGGUUGUUGCGGGAAACAUCGGGAGGCGACAUCGCUCAUGGCGGCCGAUGGCUUUUGGCAACAAAAUGGCAAAGCAUCGUGCAAGUAGGUCCGCAAGGUGCCGUGCGCACGAGGCGAAGCUUAGUAAGUUGCCGAUUGCCAUCAGUUGAAGCGAGCAACAUCGGGAGGCGAUAUCGCUCGUGGCGGCUGAUGGCUUUUGGCAACAAAAUGGCAGAGCAUCGUGCAAGUAGUGCCGCAAGGUUCUGUGCGCACGAGGCGAAGCUUAGUAAGUUGCCGAUUGCCAUCGUUUGUUCUGGGUUGUGUCGGGCAUAGUUCUAACCCCCUAUUCGUGCUUUGCGGGGCUUGUCUUGGGUUUGCAAUGUUGGCAUCGGCAACAACACAUGGCUGCGCGUCGCGUGUUGGGGCUGGUGUUGGCUUUGUAUCGGCGAGGCAAGUGUACGUUGGCAACAAAAUGGCAGAGCAUCGUGCAAGUAGUGCCGCAAGGUUCUGUGCGCACGAGGCGAAGCUUAGUAAGUUGCCGAUUGCCAUCGUUUGUUCUGGGUUGUGUCGGGCAUAGUUCUAACCCCCUAUUCGUGCUUUGCGGGGCUUGUCUUGGGUUUGCAAUGUUGGCAUCGGCAACAACACAUGGCGGCACGUCAUGUGUUGGGGCUGGUGUUGGCUUUGUAUCGGCGAGGCAAGUGUACGUGCGGUACAUGAGUGGUGUUCCGCUUGUGUGGCUAGGUUGGAUCCCUGCUCGAGGAGCAACGUCCUAGCUCACAUGCCAUCUCAGUCACGUCACAAGUGCAAACUAGGCUUGUUCGACGUCGGUUUUCUGUGUUGCAUACCUAAUGCCAAGGCAUUAUCAAGCACAANNNNNNNNNNNNNNNNNNNNNNNNNNNNNNNNNNNNNNNNNNNNNNNNNNNNNNNNNNNNNNNNNNNNNNNNNNNNNNNNNNNNNNNNNNNNNNNNNNNNNNNNNNNNNNNNNNNNNNNNNNNNNNNNNNNNNNNNNNNNNNNNNNNNNNNNNNNNNNNNNNNNNNNNNNNNNNNNNNNNNNNNNNNNNNNNNNNNNNNNNNNNNNNNNNNNNNNNNNNNNNNNNNNNUGUUCGACGUGCGGGGUGAACCAAAAGCUGCAGUUGUGUCCCAGGUCGUCCUAGCUUCGCUUUGCGGUGGCUUGGUCCACGACUUAGCAUGCUCGGGCUCUCGGAUUCGGUAAACGCAAUGGGCAUGGGGCCUUCAUUGGCUUCUAUCUACCCAAAGAAUGCUCCUUACAAAUGACGGUCAUGCUCGGCUUCGACUUGGCCGUGCCCUUUUGGGUCGGCCACGCUCAUGCGACGCCGGCGUCAAUGAGGAAUGCUACCUGGUUGAUCCUGACAGUAGUCAUAUGCUUGUCUCAAAUAUUAAGCAAUGCAUGUGUAAGUAUGAACAAAUUCAAACUUUGAAACUGCGAAUGGCUCAUUAAAUCAGUUAUAGUUUGGUUGAUGGUAUCUACUACUCGGAUAACCGUAGUAAUUCUAGAGCAAAUACGUGCAACAAACCCCGACUUCUGGAAGGGAUGCAUUUAUUAGAUAAAAGGUCGACACAGGCUCUGCACGUUGCUACUAUGAUUCAUGAUAACUCGACGGAUCGCACGGCCAUCGUGUCUACGACGCAUCAUUCAAAUAUUUGCCCUAUCAACUUUCGAUGGUAGGAUGACACGGACUCUGCCCGUUGCUGCGAUGAUUCAUGAUAACUCGACGGAUCGCACAGCCAUCGUGCUGGCGACGCAUCAUUCAAAUUUCUACCCUAUCAACUUUCGAUGGUAGGAUAGUGGCCUACAAUGGUGGUGACGGGUGACGGAGAAUUGGGGUUCGAUUCUUGAGAGGGAGCCUGAGAAACGGCUACCACAUCCAAGGAAGGCAGCAGGCGCGCAAAUUACCCAUUCCUGACACGGGAAGGUAGUGACAAUAAAUAACAAUACCGGGCUUUAUGAGUCUGGUAAUUGUAAUGAGCACAAUCUAAAUCCCUUAACGAGGAACCAUUGGAGGGCAUGUCCGGUGCCAGCAGCCACGGUAAUUCUAGCUCCAAUAGCGUAUAUUGAAGUUGUUGCAGUUAAGAAGCUCGUAGUUGGACUUUGGGAUGGGCCGGCCGGUCAGCCUUUGGUGUGCACCGGUCAUCUCGUCCCUUCUGCCGGCGAUGCGCUCCUGGCCGUAAUUGGCCGGGUCGUGCCUCCGGCGCUGCAUCAAAUACUGUCCUAGUCUCAACCAUAAACGAUGUCGACGAGGGAAGAUGUUGCUUUUAGGACUCCGCCGGCACCUUAUGAGAAUUGAAUUGUUUUUGGGUUCCGGGGGGAGUAUGGUCGCAAGGCUGAAACUUAAAGGAAUUGACGGAGGGGCACCACCAGGAGUGGAGCCUGAGGCUUAAUUUGACUCAACAUGGGGAAACUUACAAGGUCCAGACAUAGUAAGGAUUGACAGACUGAGAGCUCUUUCUUGAUUCUAUGGGUGGUGGUGCAUGGCCGUUCUUAGUUGGUGGAGCGAUUUGUCUGGUUAAUUCCGUUAACGACCGAGACCUCAGCCUGCUAACUAGCUAUGCGGAGGCAUCUCUUCGUGGCCAGCUUCUUAGACGGACUACGGCCUUUUUGCCGCGAAGUUUGAGGCAAUAUAGGACUGUGAUGCCCUUAGAUGUUUUGGGCCGAACGCGCGCUACGCUGAUGUAUUUAACGAGUUUAUAGCCUUGGCCGACAGGCUCGGGUAAUCAUCCAAAUUUCAUCAUCAUGGGGAUAGAUCAUUGCAAUUGUUGGUCUUCAAUGAGGAAUUCCUAGUAAGCGCGAGUCAUCAGCUCGCGUUGACUACAUUCCUGCCCUUUGUACACACCGCCCGUCGCUUCUACCGAUUGAAUGAUCCGGUGAAAUGUUCGGGUCGCGGCGAGUGGGCGUAUCGCUGCCCGCAACAAGCCUGCCUUUCGUGCCUCGUUCGCGGCGUGCGCGAGGGGCUUGUGCUUCUUUUGAAACACAAACGACUCUCGGCAACGGAUAUCUCGUCUCUCACAUCGAUGAAGAACGUAGCGAAAUGCGAUACUUGGUGUGAAUUGCAGAAUCUCGUGAACCAUCGAGUCUUUGAACGCAAGUUGGCCCGAAGCCAUAA
rnacentral:lncRNA from 1 species